GACGAACGCUGGCGGCGUGCUUAACACAUGCAAGUCGAACGGAAAGGCCCUGCUUUUGUGGGGUGCUCGAGUGGCGAACGGGUGAGUAACACGUGAGUAACCUGCCCUUGACUUUGGGAUAACUUCAGGAAACUGGGGCUAAUACCGGAUAGGAGCUCCUGCUGCAUGGUGGGGGUUGGAAAGUUUCGGCGGUUGGGGAUGGACUCGCGGCUUAUCAGCUUGUUGGUGGGGUAGUGGCUUACCAAGGCUUUGACGGGUAGCCGGCCUGCGAGGGUGACCGGCCACAUUGGGACUGAGAUACGGCCCAGACUCCUACGGGAGGCAGAAGUGGGGAAUAUUGCACAAUGGGCGGAAGCCUGAUGCAGCAACGCCGCGUGCGGGAUGACGGCCUUCGGGUUGUAAACCGCUUUCGCCUGUGACGAAGCGUGAGUGACGGUAAUGGGUAAAGAAGCACCGGCUAACUACGUG
rnacentral:rRNA from 1 species